AUAUCUGACAGAUUGGGUGUGUAAUAAAUGGUGGAGGACUUGCAAUGAUACACUUGGAUAGAAAUGUAACUUUAACAAUUUCACCCAUUAUCAUUGACUAUGCCUCAGUCUCAGCAUCACAUAUUAAAGACUAUAAAUGUGGUUUUAUCAGUCGUAUUUGAAAUUGAUUGACAGACUGAUGAAAUCAAUUUAAUCCUUUCACUUAUUUAUUAAAAUAAUACUAUCAGCACCUACUAUUUAGUAGGCAUGGAAGAUCUUGGAAUAAAUAAGAAUUUUUCCCCGACCUCAAGAAGCUGAGAAUCUUGUGGGUGAUAAAUACAAUAUCAACUGUAACAAAAAUCAAAACAAACAAACAAACAAAAACCCCCAAAAAUGUUGAGGAGAAAGUUAAGAAAAUAUGUACAGGAUAAUCUGGACAAAUAGGGAGUGAGUAGAAAAGCUUAUUACAAAUCCAGUUUUAUUCUGCUGCUAAGUAGUCUUUGGCAUUUACUCAGAGGAGCCUUCUUUUUUCUUUUUUUAUGGACUCAUCAUAACUUGACAUAAUUUUCUGGAUAAUGACUUGUAAGCUCCAUGAAGGCAGUGGCAAUGACUGUCUUGUUCAUCACUGUAUCCUCAGCGCUUUGCUCAUAAAGCAAUGGCACGUUAAGUACAGCGCCUGGCACAUAAGAAGCACAGAAUGCAUGCUUGUUUAAUGACUAUAUGGAUAAGCAUGAAAGUCAGAGGGACUUUCUUUAAAUGAAUCAGAUUUAUAGGGUGAGAAGAGCUAUGUGAAUCUAGGCCAGAGGCCAAAGUUCCUCAUUUAUUCCAUCGUUGGCAAGUGAGGGCCUCAACAAGAUAUAAAAACUCCUGACUUCUGCAAACCUGCCCUUGACGAACACCCAGUUCAGAAAGCUCUGUGCACCCCUGUCUCUGUCCGCUCUGCUCUGGUGUCUGGCUGCUUCAGGCAUAAUUCAGCCCCUG
rnacentral:lncRNA from 1 species